rnacentral:rRNA from 1 species
UACAGAGGUGUCAAGCGUUGUUCGGAAUUACUGGGCGUAAAGGGCGCGUAGGCGGCCUUCUAAGUCAGACGUGAAAUCCCCCGGCUUAACCUGGGAACUGCGUCUGAUACUGGGAGGCUUGAGUAUGGGAGAGGGAUGUAGAAUUCCAGGUGUAGCGGUGAAAUGCGUAGAUAUCUGGAGGAAUACCGGUGGCGAAGGCGGCAUCCUGGACCAUAACUGACGCUGAGGCGCGAAAGCUAGGGGAGCAAACGGG